rnacentral:rRNA from 1 species
AGAGUUUGAUCCUGGCUCAGAUUGAACGCUGGCGGUAUGCCUUACACAUGCAAGUCGAACGGUAGAGGGGCAACCCUUGAGAGUGGCGAACGGGUGAGUAAUACAUCGGAACGUGCCCAGUCGUGGGGGAUAACGUAGCGAAAGCUACGCUAAUACCGCAUACGACCCGAGGGUGAAAGCGGGGGACUCGCAAGAGCCUCGCGCGAUUGGAGCGGCCGAUGGCAGAUUAGGUAGUUGGUGGGGUAAAGGCCCACCAAGCCUGCGAUCUGUAGCUGGUCUGAGAGGACGACCAGCCACACUGGGACUGAGACACGGCCCAGACUCCUACGGGAGGCAGCAGUGGGGAAUUUUGGACAAUGGGCGAAAGCCUGAUCCAGCCAUACCGCGUGCGGGAAGAAGGCCUUCGGGUUGUAAACCGCUUUUGUCAGGGAAGAAAUCCUUUGGGUUAAUACCUCGGAGGGAUGACGGUACCUGAAGAAUAAGCACCGGCUAACUACGUGCCAGCAGCCGCGGUAAUACGUAGGGUGCAAGCGUUAAUCGGAAUUACUGGGCGUAAAGCGUGCGCAGGCG